UGGGGAAUAUUGGACAAUGGGCGCAAGCCUGAUCCAGCCAUGCCGCGUGAGUGAUGAAGGCCCUAGGGUUGUAAAGCUCUUUCACCGGUGAAGAUAAUGACGGUAACCGGAGAAGAAGCCCCGGCUAACUUCGUGCCAGCAGCCGCGGUAAUACGAAGGGGGCUAGCGUUGUUCGGAUUUACUGGGCGUAAAGCGCACGUAGGCGGACUAUUAAGUCAGGGGUGAAAUCCCGGGGCUCAACCCCGGAACUGCCUUUGAUACUGGUAGUCUUGAGGUCGAGAGAGGUGAGUGGAAUUCCGAGUGUAGAGGUGAAAGUCGUAGAUAUUCGGAGGAAAACCAGUGGCGAAGGCGGCUCACUGGCUAGAUACUGACGCUGAGGUGCGAAAGCGUGGGGAGCAAACAGG
rnacentral:rRNA from 1 species